rnacentral:rRNA from 1 species
GACGAACGCUGGCGGCGUGCUUAACACAUGCAAGUCGAGCGGUAAGGCCCUUUCGGGGGUACACGAGCGGCGAACGGGUGAGUAACACGUGGGUGACCUGCCCUCAGCUCUGGGAUAAGCCUGGGAAACUGGGUCUAAUACUGGAUAUGACUCCACGGUGCAUGUCGUGGGGUGGAAAGCCUUGUGCGGCUGAGGAUGGGCCCGCGGCCUAUCAGCUUGUUGGUGGGGUGANGGGCCUACCAAGGCGACGACGGGUAGCCGGCCUGAGAGGGCGACCGGCCACACUGGGACUGAGACACGGCCCAGACUCCUACGGGAGGCAGGCAGUGGGGGAAUCUUGCGCAAUGGGCGAAAGCCUGACGCAGCGACGCCGCGUGAGGGAUGACGG